GGACUCGUAGCUCAGUUGGUUAGAGCGCCUCGUUUACACCGAGGAGGCCAGAAGUUCGAAUCUUCUCGGGUCCA
rnacentral:tRNA from 1 species